AUAUAUUCGGGNGACNCGCUGGCCGGCGUUGUUUAACACAUGACACGUCGAACGGAAAGGCCCUGCUUUUGUGGGGUGCUCGAGUGGCGAACGGGUGAGUAACACGUGAGUAACCUGCCCUUGACUUUGGGAUAACUUCAGGAAACUGGGGCUAAUACCGGAUAGGAGCUCCUGCUGCAUGGUGGGGGUUGGAAAGUUUCGGCGGUUGGGGAUGGACUCGCGGCUUAUCAGCUUGUUGGUGGGGUAGUGGCUUACCAAGGCUUUGACGGGUAGCCGGCCUGAGAGGGUGACCGGCCACAUUGGGACUGAGAUACGGCCCAGACUCCUACGGGAGGCAGCAGUGGGGAAUAUUGCACAAUGGGCGGAAGCCUGAUGCAGCAACGCCGCGUGCGGGAUGACGGCCUUCGGGUUGUAAACCGCUUUCGCCUGUGACGAAGCGUGAGUGACGGUAAUGGGUAAAGAAGCACCGGCUAACUACGUGCCAGCAGCCGCGGUGAUACGUAGGGUGCGAGCGUUGUCCGGAUUUAUUGGGCGUAAAGGGCUCGUAGGUGGUUGAUCGCGUCGGAAGUGUAAUCUUG
rnacentral:rRNA from 1 species